CUUGAAUUUUAGAUAUACGUAUACCUUGAUGGGGUUUUUGGAUUAACAGCUAUGAGCCUUUAUUAUUUACCAGCCCAUAGAUUAUUUUCAUAUUUAUGAUCAGAAGCUGAUCAACUGACGUUCCCCAUAACCUCAACACAGAACCUCAAGCUGGGUCAGGGUAAUUUGAUUUAUUCUGUGGAUUUAGUGUACCUAAUUUAAUUUGCUGGGAAACCCAUGAGAUAGAAGGAGAGCCAAGAGAGGACACAAACAGAUCAUGUAUUUUUUUGUUUAAUGAGUUUAAGGGAUUCACGCCACUACCGAAGUUCUGGGUAGUUUUAUUUUACGGCAAUAAAUGGGAUUUUCAAGCACGACCAUAAUUCAAAUUGAAUCCUGAAAUUCAAUGUUUGGAUAAAGUUAAGUAAAAAGUGGACAGUAAAAUUUUAUUUAAAAAAACA